rnacentral:rRNA from 1 species
UACGUAGGGUCCGAGCGUUGUCCGGAAUUAUUGGGCGUAAAGGGCUCGUAGGCGGUUCGUCACGUCGGGAGUGAAAACUCGGGGCUUAACCCCGAGCCUGCUUCCGAUACGGGCAGACUAGAGGUAGGCAGGGGAGAGCGGAACUCCUGGUGUAGCGGUGGAAUGCGCAGAUAUCAGGAAGAACACCCGUGGCUAAGGCGGUUCUCUAGUACGGUACUGACGCUGAGACGCGAAAGCGUGGGGAGCGAACAGG